rnacentral:sRNA from 1 species
AUAUGAGAAAGGGCCAGGAAAACGUAAGAUCAAGCACAAAGGUCAAGGAACAAGGCCAGGCAAAAGUAAAAGGAAAAAUUUAAAAAAUAGGAACAAAUAAAUGUAUUCAAAUCCUUUUAUUCUUUUUUUCACUUCACAUUUCAACAUGUUAGAUAGCAUUACAACAGUUGACUGCCUGCUCACAGACUGCAUUAUGGAAAUGCAAUUAUUUACAAUGUAUUUACACAGGGCUAAAAAUGUGUAUUUAAAGGUCAGAAAAAA